GGCUCAUCUGACCCUGGGGGCUUCCUGUCCUCUCUGACUACGACAGAAAGGAAAUUGAAUUGCAAUUUGCAGCAGACAAUGCUGAGACAGUACAAUCAAGGGGAGCAGAGGACAUUACCGGAGCCCGGAGUGGACACUCCUGGGGACCCAGUGAGCACCCUUUCUUGCAUUCAUCAUCUCGUCCUCCAGGCAGCCCUUCAUGGUGGGCAGUCCCUUCACUGAGAAGGAGCCAAAGCUGAGUGAGGAUAUCUGGAGUCACAAUCGUCGGUGGAGCUGACAAUGUCUGAGGGAGGGCAGGGUGCCCACACACGGCAGCCACGUGGCACAGGUUAUUCCCCAAAGGCCAGGCCCGCUCUGUCUCUGAGCUGGGCCUUGACCCCUUCUCCUACCCUUCUUCAGAGGUUCUCUGUGUAAGGAAGAUCCAAGGAUCAUUCUGGUUCCAAGGAGCACCUGGGGCAGGUCUCUGAGCCUUGGGAUCAAGGCCACACAGAAACCGAGUGUCAGAGCUAUCCAGGCCCUUAUGACCACGGGAUGCAACCCCUUCCGCUGACGAAUGAGGGAACUGAGAGCUAAAGCGGGGAAGUGAGCCACUCUCCCCAGGACCGAAGUCUUGGGGCUCUGAGGCCUCAGAGGAUGACUGCCCAGGCUUCCAUCCUGUGCACCCCCAGACCCUUCCUCACACAAAUGGGCCAUUUGUGAUCUAGAAUGACGUUCACAUGUCCCUCUGAAGUCCUUCUGUGUUUCCUUCUCUUUCUUACUUGAGGUUUUGAGUCUGUUCUACCAAAAUGUCCUCUCCUACCCUGAUGGCCUUCCGUCACCAGAGUCCCAAAGCCUUUUAGAAUCCAGAUCCUGGUCCUGGAGCAGAGUUCUUUAACCUGGCACAGCUUCUCCAUCCUGGUGCUCCCCUU